AUGGGCCCUGCACCUAUCAGCUGUUGUGAUGGGUGCACCCUAAACAGCAGCAUGGCUAUGGGUGCACCUUGGACCUGGGCACAUGCUGGGUACUGUCUUGGGGGAGCACCCGUGGACCCUGCACCCACCAGGCACUGCCAUGGGUGCACUCUGGGCACACGCAGCCAUCAACCACUGCUAUGGGUGCACCCGCAGGCCCUGCAUCCACCAGGCACUGUGGCCGGGAGUGGGGAGGGGCCACAGGGUGCUGAGGGGCCCCAUGCAGGGACCAUCCCAUCCGGGCCAACCCCUCUGUCCCUGUCCCCCUCCCUUAUCAGCGGGGACAGGCGGCGGGUGGUUGUGGGGACGAUGUACGGCAACGUGGCGACGGGCCCGCACGGGCAGGGAUCACCGUGGGUGCCAGCACCCAGCACCCAGGAAGCAUGCAGCACCCUGUGCCCAGCCGAGGAGAACCCCUACGAACCCUUGGACCCUCCGGGUGCCGCACCAAGCCUCCCCCAAGUCCCCGAGCCACCCGCCCUGGCCAAGAGCUGCGGCUCCAGCGUGGCCCGACACCGCAGCACUUCCAGACGGGGGAUCCGGGCUCUCCCACCCAGCUGCUCUGGGUCCAGGCAGGUGCUGGCCACCACUGUGGCCCUGAGUGUCUCGGUAGUCCUCAACGUGCUCCUCCUCACCCUGCACCUGCGGCCAAGUGAGUACUGGGGGCCUUUGGGUGCUCCCAAGGCUGCUGCUGCCCUUGUGGGCAGAGUUAAGGCGAUAGUGCUAUGGGCAGAGUAAAGGUGAUGGCACUGUGGGUAGAGUCAACGUGACAGUGUUGUGGGCAGAGUUAAGGGGACAAUGUUGUGGUCAGAGUUAAGGUGAUGGUGCUGUGGGCAGAGUUAAGGGGACAAUGUUGUGGGCGGAAUUAAGGUGAUGGUGCUGUGGGCAGAGUUAAGGUGAUGACUUUGUGAGCAGAGUUAAGGGGACAGUGUUGUGGGCAGUUACAGUGACAGCACCAUGGGCAGAGUUACGGUGACAGUUCUGCAGGCAGAGUUUAGGUGACAACAUUGUGGGCAGAGUUAAGGUGACAGCCCGAUGUCACCCUGCAGAUACAACC
rnacentral:lncRNA from 1 species